AACAGAACACCUGAGCAUAAUUUAAACCUUGCUUUAUUGUCAAGGUGAUCACUACAAUCCUCAACGUUUGGCCAUUGCUGUUUUUCUUUAGGAGAGAUUAAUCGGGAGUGAGGUCUGCCUAAACCUGAGAUGAGAAGAAUUUGUCUCCUGAGAAUAAUGAUGGAUAUCCCUCAAGAAUUGAAGAUGGGCCAGGGUACACAGAAUGAUUACAUUUGUUCCUUGCUGUUAGGAGGAACAAGCAGAAGUUCCAUAUGCCACCUUCUUCUGCUACUGCAGCAACAAGUGAUAUUCGAGACAGUGAAGCCCCCAUCAAUUCUAGACUGAUAUGGAGCAGAGACGACCUCCUAUACACACUCCCACUACUGACCCAUGGUGGACAAGAAACCAGAAAUUUCAUUAUGUUAAGCUUCUGAGAUAUUUCUGUUUUUUCCACUGAACAUUAUUCUAAUUUAUGUGAUAUAUUUGAUUUUAGAGCUAACUUGUUCUAAAGCUUACAGUCUUUUGCUGGGCAGGGUAGCAGUUCCAGCCACUUAGUAGGCUGAAACAGGAGGAUGGCUUAAGCUCAGGAGUUUGAGACCAGCCUGGGCUAAAUAAUGAGACCCCAUCUCUUAAAAAUAUAUACAAAAUAUAUAAACAAAAAUAAAGCUUACAAUUUUUUUCAACAACAACCUUGUGUAUAGUUCAAACGGAUUUUGUACCCCAUACCUUAGUAACCUACUCAAUGUCAUAUAAGCCUUUCUACCUUUCAGAGUAUCUUCUUGUCAUUCCUUCUUAAAAUGCUCCUCCCAAAUCCUAUUCUGUCUUUUUUUACUACUUUUGAUCUGAACUGUCCAAUAUGUGACUUUGUCCAUAUGUGUCCACAUGCAACUAUUGAGCCCUUGAAAUAUGGCUAGUUCAAAACUGAGAUACACUGUAAGUAUAAUACUGCAUACUGGAUUUUGAACAAUUAGGACAAAAAGAAUAUUAAAUAUAUUCUUAAAAUUAAUUACAUGUUAAAAUGGUAUGUUGGAUAUAUUUGGUUAAAUGAAACUUUAUUAAAAUGAAUUAGCCCUGUUUCUUAUUUUUUUUUUUGUUUUUUGUUUUUAAUUGUGUCUGCUCAAAAAACUAAAAUUACACAAGUGGUUCACAUUUGUAUCUUGAGUAAUAUUUCCAUGGAGAGCACAAAAAUAGAUCCUGAUGAAAGAAUAUAUCCAUCUUAAAACUUUUCUUGAAGAUCUAAAUCAGCUACAGUGACUUUCUUUCUUUUGUAGGGAAGGGAAAAAUAUCUUUUCCUAACCCAUCUGCCUAUCCGAGGUUCUUAGCUGAGACACCUAUAACCAAAGGUAGAUAAACAUACAAAUUUCUUUAAAUAAGUUUUAUGAACACAGAACCCCUCACAAGAAAAUGGAGACCAGAAAAAACAGUUAAACUUGUGUAUGCUUAUGCCUGGAUUGAUGAAGAGUAGACAGUCAUGGAGAAAUAUGAUUGGACAAAAGUUAUGGAAAUAAACUGGGGAAACAGCAAGGCCUGUUUGUUCAGAUUUUUCUGUGUGGCUCUUUGUCUUGAGAUGAGAAUGUGCCUUUCUUCUGGGUAUAAGGAGGGUACCUCUUACAUAAGGUCUUAUAACCAGCUUGAGGGGAGAAGGGCAAGGGGAAGGUGAGAGUGACCUCCUAGCUUCUGCUAUUUUUCCAAAUGCCAAGCUGCCAUAUUUCAGUGUAGCAUGACCUGAACCCCAUCACUCCACAUCACCUUACUCUAUAAAUUCAUUUUGCUAUUUUUUCUAUUUAUAUUAGUCCAUUUUCAUACGCUAUGAAGAAAUACCUGAGACUGGGCAAUUUAUAAAGAAAAAGAGGCUUAAUAGACUCACAGUUCCACAUGGCUAGGGAGGUCUCACAAUCAUGGUGGAAGGUGAAAGAGGAGAAAAGCCACGUUUUACGUGGCAGCGGGCAAAAGAGUGUGUACAGGGGAACUCUCCUUUAUAAAACCAUCAGAUCUCAUUAGACGUAUUCACUAUUCACUAGCACCAGGGGAAAAACCCAUCCCCAUGCUUCAAUUACCUCCCACUGGGUCCCUCCCAUGACAUGUGGAGAUUGUGGGAGCUACAAUUCAAGAUAAGAUUUGGGGGGUAACACAGCCAAACCAGGUUACUAUUGUAUAUCAUUAUAUUAAUGAUGCUUAUCUGAAACAAUUGUCCUGUCUUAAUAGGUACAAAGCUUUUAAAAUUACAGAAUAUUUGUUAUUUCUCUGAGACCUCCCUACAGUACUUUGCAGUCUACUUUGUACAGAUUACACAUUCUAUGAACUGUUUUAACUGAUUUUGGACAGUGAGGUUUCUGAGGAAGACAUUGAUGGCAGGCUGCUUUGAUUUGUGAUUGUUGUAUCUAUUCUGGGCUCUCACCAAAUGCUCACUGGAGUAGACAUUUCAGAGUAUAAAAAAAAGUUAAAAAUUCAAAAACACAAAAGGCACUCAAAUAAACCAGGAUUUGAAAAUCACCAAUUUCAAUUUUUCUAAACUCUUAAUGAGAACCUCACCUGGUCUAUAAUUGAAGAUCAACCAAAGGUCAUGCAGAAAAACAAAAUAGAAUGUAACAAGUAAGCUCUUCUACUAUUUCAUGCUUAGGUACAUUGACAGCGGGCCUCAUAGAAAUGGGGCUAAUCUAAAAAUAAAUAUCCAUAUUUUGGUUUGAAGAAAUAAUUAUCCUAUGCAAGUUCUUAGACCCAUCUCUAGGAAUACUGAAAGACAGAUAUUUUUCUCACACAAGUAAAUAUUCUACCAUGUUUCAAAAAAAAGUGAAAGACAAUAAAAAUGGUAUUGGAAAGAGUGUGCUAAAGAUGACCAUCUGUUCUCCAGGAGGUGAAAGAAAAGGAGCUUAAAAUUACACUAAGGGACAUAGUAUGUUUACAAAGUAUACUAAUACUACAGAGACUGCUGGAGAAGGCAUUAAAGAAGUGUGCAGGGAAGCAGCAAUCAACUGUGCCCUAAAGCAGACAGGAGAAGCCAAGUGUAUGGCAAGGAUUGGGUCAAAGACCCUUCUGGGAAGUCAGCACACCCCUGCCUGAUUCAGGAUUUGCUGGGAGAGGCAGUUCAAAAAUCUAAGACUUUACUGGAUUGUCAUUGUCCACACACAAUCUGCUUAGUGAAACUUUCUAA
rnacentral:lncRNA from 10 species